CUCCCACCGACGUGGGAUCAUUGCGUUAGACUCCCAAGAGGAACGUGGAGAGGAAGGGCACGACAGCGGGGAGCACGAACACGGACACCACUGGAAGACACGCACGGGAGUCUUGGGGAGCACGGGGAUUAAUUGUGCAUCGUUAUUUACCGCAUUUUAAAUAAAUGCGCUAUGUACAGUCGUACACAGAGGACAUCUGCAGGAAAAAGUGGAAGAGCCUCAGGGACACGUAUAAUAAGGACAAGAGGACAUGGAAGGAGAAGAGGAGUGGGUCUGCAGCAGGAUCGGGGAGGAGAUGGAAAUUUUACGUGGUCAUGGGGUUUCUGGACCCCUUCCUCACCCCCCAGAAGGCUAGCGGCAAUAUGGUGCAGACCGUGGAGAACUUCGCCCCCGAGGACGAUGGACAGCCCGGAGAGGCAGCAGGGGAGUUUCAGUCUGAAGAGUCAACUGAUUCUGCAGCAGAGCCAUCCCCCCUGAUGCUUCUUCUGGCUCCCCAGUCCCUGGUCCCUCCACUCCUGCUGCUGCACCCACAGGCCCACAGAGGAGGACAGCUCAAAAGCGGUCGAGGGACGGGUACCAGGAUGGUCGAUCGGCGGUGGAGCUGGCCAUCCUGGAGUCCCUGAAGAGGCCAUGCCAGUCUCCAACGGAGUAUUUCCUCCUUGGCCUUGCUCCUGCUCUGGAGAGCAUGCCGCCUCAGACACGAGAAUUUGUGAAAUUCCAAAUGCACAAAUUAGUUUUUGAGAGCAGCACAGCUGUGUUAAAUUUGGAAACAUUGGACCCUAGCGAUCAGUAGUUUUCUGAUGAGGCAGCAGCUCUCCAGGGCAGAAACAAUGUUCUUAUUUUUCUCCUCAUUCUCCCUGAGGCUCUUCCACUCCAAGCUGGGUCCUUUUUGUUCCUGUCUUUCUGUAAAUAGUUAAAUUUUAUAUAUUUAUGUUUAAUGUUGUUGUUAUUGAAUUUAUAUAUUUUUUCAAAUAAAC
ensembl:lncRNA